rnacentral:rRNA from 1 species
ACGGGAGCUUGCUCCCUUAGGUCAGCGGCGGACGGGUGAGUAACACGUGGGUAACCUGCCUGUAAGACUGGGAUAACUCCGGGAAACCGGGGCUAAUACCGGAUGCUUGAUUGAACCGCAUGGUUCCAAUCAUAAAAGGUGGCUUUCAGCUACCACUUACUGAUGGACCCGCGGCGCAUUAGCUAGUUGGUGAGGUAACGGCUCACCAAGGCGACGAUGCGUAGCCGACCUGAGAGGGUGAUCGGCCACACUGGGACUGAGACACGGCCCAGACUCCUACGGGAGGCAGCAAUAGGGAAUCUUCCGCAAUGGACGAAAGUCUGACGGAGCUACGCCGCGUGAGUGAUGAAGGUUUUCGGAUCGUAAAACUCUGUUGUUAGGGAAGAACAAGUACCGUUCGAAUAGGGCGGCACCUUGACGGUACCUAACCAGAAAGCCACGGCUAACUACGUGCCAGCAGCCGCGGUAAUACGUAGGUGGCAAGCGUUGUCCGGAAUUAUUGGGCGUAAAGCGCGCGCAGGCGGUUUCUUAAGUCUGAUGUGAAGCCCCCGGCUCAACCGGGGAGGGUCAUUGGAAACUGGGGAACUUGAGUGCAGAAGAGGAGAGUGGAUUCCACGUGUAGCGGUGAAAUGCGUAGAGAUGUGGAGGACACCAGUGGCGAAGGCGACUCUCUGGUCUG